ensembl:lncRNA
GGUCAGUCUGGAGAAGAGGAGGCUCAGGGGAGGCCUUAUUGCUCUCUGUAACUGCCUGAAGGGAGGUUGUAGUGAGCUGCGGGUCGGCCUCUUCUCUCGGGUGACAGUGAUAGGACGAGAGGGAAUGGCUUCAAGCUGCGCCAGGGAAGAUUCAGGCUGGACUUUAGGAAAUGCUACUGCUCUGAAAGGGUGGUCAGGCACUGCAAUGGGCUGCCCAGAGAGGUGGUGGAGUCACCGACCCUGGUGGUGUUCAAAGAGCGUUUGGAUGCUGUGUUGAGGGACAUGGUUUAGCGAGAACCAUUGGUGAAGGGCGGAUGGUUGGACUGGGUGAUCCUGUGGGUCUUUUCCAACCUUAGCGAUUCUAUGAUUCUAUGAUUUGCCUCUUGCAUGCCCUACAUCGACCCCAAAUGAGAAGAGG